rfam:Sorghum bicolor cultivar BTx623 chromosome 8, whole genome shotgun sequence.
AAACUUGAAGAUGAGGAGUUGAUUUCCUACAUCUUGACCGGGCUGGAUCAUGAGUUCGAUCCAGUGGUGACCGCAGUGGCGGCGCGAGUCGAGCCGAUCACCGUGAACGAGCUCUACGCGCAGCUCGUAUCGUUCGAGC